UACAGAGGUCUCAAGCGUUGUUCGGAUUCAUUGGGCGUAAAGGGCGCGUAGGCUGCGGGGCAAGUCGGGUGUGAAAUCUCAGAGCUCAACUCUGAAACUGCACUCGAUACUGCUUUGCUUGAGGACUGGAGAGGAGAUUGGAAUUCACGGUGUAGCAGUGAAAUGCGUAGAUAUCGUAAGGAAGACCAGUGGCGAAGGCGGGUCUCUGGACAGUUCCUGACGCUGAGGCACGAAGGCCAGGGGAGCAAACGGG
rnacentral:rRNA from 1 species